CCUACGGGAGGCAGCAGUGAGGAAUAUUGGUCAAUGGACGAGAGUCUGAACCAGCCAAGUAGCGUGAAGGAUGACUGCCCUAUGGGUUGUAAACUUCUUUUAUAUGGGAAUAAAACGUUCCACGUGUGGGAUUUUGUAUGUACCAUAUGAAUAAGGAUCGGCUAACUCCGUGCCAGCAGCCGCGGUAAUACGGAGGAUCCGAGCGUUAUCCGGAUUUAUUGGGUUUAAAGGGAGCGUAGGUGGAUUGUUAAGUCAGUUGUGAAAGUUUGCGGCUCAACCGUAAAAUUGCAGUUGAAACUGGCAGUCUUGAGUAAGGUAGAGGUGGGCGGAAUUCGUGGUGUAGCGGUGAAAUGCUUAGAUAUCACGAAGAACUCCGAUUGCGAAGGCAGUUCACUGGACUGCAACUGACACUGAGGCUCGAAAGUGUGGGUAUCAAACAGGAUUAGAUACCCGGGUAGUC
rnacentral:rRNA from 1 species